rnacentral:rRNA from 1 species
CCCUUAGAUGUUCUGGGCCGCACGCGCGCUACACUGAUGCAUUCAACGAGUCUAAAACCUGCUCUGAUAGGGGUGGGUAAUCUUUUGAAUGUGCAUCGUGAUUGGGAUAGAUGAUUGCAAUUUUUCAUCUUCAACGAGGAAUUCCUAGUAAGCGCGAGUCAUCAGCUCGCGCUGAUUACGUCCCUGCCCUUUGUACACACCGCCCGUCGCUACUACCGAUUGGAUGGUUUAGCGAGAACUUUGGACCGGAGCUCGGGUGGUCAGCAAUGGCCGCCCGAGACAUACUGGGAAAUCGCUCCAGCUUGAUCAUCUAGAGGAAGUAAAAGUCGUAACA